rnacentral:misc_RNA from 1 species
GGGAGAACCUGUACCCGUCCACGGCCCUACUCGCGGAGGGUUGAGCCCGAACAGAACGGAGCUUGUUUCAUUAGCAAGUAAAUUCCCAAAGUUAUUCUCCGACGCAACGCGAUCUGCUAAUUAAUCUGCUGUUGGUAACUAAUCCACUCCCCUCAAAAUCGACCUCAUUUUUCUUCAAUUUAUCAAAAGCAAACCUGGCUUCAGCUAUCUGGAAACGCCUAUUCCCACCGCAAACCCGAAGACCCGCCCCAGUCAUCCCCGAUAUCAGGAUAAAUCGCCGCUUUAAUCCCGGAAUGGAUGUUAACGUAUUCAAAUUAUGCUCUGGUCUCAAGGUUCUCGGCUACUUGAUGAUCCUUCUCGUCGCCGGCAUUAUCACCGUCUCCUACUACGCCGUCGUGGUUAUUACCUGGGGCCCGCAGUUGCUUCGCGGUGGUGUCCACUCUCUUUCGGCUAU